rnacentral:rRNA from 1 species
GAUGAACGCUGGCGGCGUGCCUAACACAUGCAAGUCGAGCGAGAAGUAAAGAAAUGAAGCUUCGGUAGAUUUUCAUUAUGGAAAGCGGCGGACGGGUGAGUAACGCGUAGGCAACCUGCCCUGUACAGGGGGAUAGCCACCCGAAGAGGUGAUUAAUACCCCAUGAUGCAAGAGAUACACAUGUAUCACUUGUCAAAGAUUUAUCGGUAUGGGAUGGGCCUGCGUCUGAUUAGCUAGUUGGUAGGGUAACGGCUUACCAAGGCAACGAUCAGUAGCCGACCUGAGAGGGUGAUCGGCCACAUUGGAACUGAGACACGGUCCAAACUCCUACGGGAGGCAGCAGUGGGGAAUAUUGCACAAUGGGGGAAACCCUGAUGCAGCAACGCCGCGUGAAGGAAGAAGGCCUUCGGGUUGUAAAUUCUGUCCUAGGGGAAGAAACAAAUGACAUUACCUGGAGGAAGCCCGGUAA